UUUCUUUGGGGACAUGGACCCUGUAAACUUUUCAGAAAGCAUCAGUGAUCUCACCAUUCUUCCACCCAAGCUUCACCAUACAUGUGAUGUUGGUUCUUGCUUGGCAGAAUUCACGUUAUUGUGAUAGGGGCUCUUUUCAAACUGAAGUCUUCUCCUUCUUAGUGCCUCAGACUACCUCCUCUUCAGACAUGCUGCAAUAAGUUAGUACAAGUUUAUUUGGGUACAAAGAUUUUUUUUGAAAGUCAUGCAUAGUUUUUUCAUGGUAUGUCUUUUCCAUGAACUUUUUGAAGACCCCUUGUGUGUGUGUGUGUGUGUGUGUGUGUGUGUGUGUGUGUGUAUAUAAUGGAUAUAGUCUACCAAUCUGUGGUUUGUGUUUUCACUUUCUUAAUGGUGAACAUGAAAUGGUAAAAAUUUUAAUUUUUUUUUUCCUAAAAGCUUUGCAGCUUUAGCUAUUGCUUUAGAUCCCAUGAGCCAUCUCAAAUGAACUCUUGAGUAUAUUUUGAUGCAGAGGUAAAUCUGUUUUUUUCCUCUCUGCAUAUCUGAUCGUUCCAGCCCCUUCCUCUCCAUAUUGAAUUGCACUGAAUUGAGCAGACAUUCGUCAAGUGGUCGUCUGUGUGUAGGUCCAUUUCUGAAUUUGCUAUUUUGUUUGCUUUAGCAAUUCCCUUAUCAUUGUGGCAACACCACACUCUCUUCAUGACUGAAGUUUUCUAGGAAGUUUAAUCUUUGCUCAGGAAAGACUUUCAGUGUUGAUCUUCUUCAAGAAGUUCUUGAUUUUUUUCAGGUCGUUAAUAUUUCCAUAUGUUUUAGGAACAGCCUGUCACUUUCUGCAGGCUAGCCCACUGGGAUUUCGGCUGGGAGUGGAUUCAGUCUGUUGAUUAUCUGGGUGAGGUUUGACAUAUGAACAACAUGAGCGUUCCUGUGAAUGUAGUGUCCGUUUACUGGCAUCUUUUUUGUUUCUCUGCAGUGUAAAGAUGUUAUACCUCUUUCAUUAAAUUUAUCCCUAGGUAGCUGAUGUUUUGGAAUGCUAUUAUAAAUGUUAUUUUUCUUUAAAUCUCCUUUUCCAGCUUCCUGUUGCUAGAAUAUAAAACUAUGGUUGACUUUCGUACCCCAUAUCCUGCAAUUGUGCUAAAUUUGCUAUUAGUUCUAGAAAUUGGUUUGUCCAUUCUUGUGGGUUUUCUGCAUACACAGUCUUGUCAUCUGCAUGAGGCCAGUUCUCCUUCUCUCUGUCCAGUCUGUGCGGUUGACUCCUUUUCCUCCCCGCCUGGAGAUCCCCGUGGUGUCGACUGGAAGCAUGGAGGCACCUUGGGGAGGUAUUGGGCAUUUUGUCGUGGGCAGGGGCUCAGCUGUCGGUUCCAUAGAGGACCUUCCAGAUAAGGAGGCCCCUCCAGCCCCUGACUGCCGAGCUUGAUUUCCAGGAAGGGUUGUGGAAGUCACCGAGUGCCCUCCAUGCACCUGUGAAGAGUGCCCAGUGGGGCCCUCCCUGGAGUGGAGAGGAGUGACUCCCCGUGGCCAGCAGCCUUGCCUUCCUGGGGCACACCCCGCAUACAGCUUCUCCCCGGGCUGGGACAGUGGAAGGGCUGCCUUGCCAUCACCUCCCUGCACACUUGCUUUGCCCAGGUCCUGGGGCUCUGCUCCUGCCAGCUCCUGGGUGGUUCAUGCUCCUGUGAGGGCACUGACCAGCCAAGCAGGAGGGCUUUGUGGUGGCUGAGUAGAGGCAUGUGGGGUCACUCAUGCGCCCUCAGGGUCCAGGCCCCACUAGUCCUCCUCCAAGUCCCAUUUUGGCUGGUGGACACCCAGGUGUGUGGCCUAGAGGCUAUCAGGCUGCAGCUUGGGGAAGCAAACAAGGGAGGGUGAUGGUUCCUGGCCCCACACCAUCAUUCUGGUGUCAGCCCUGAGAGGGUGCCUGUCACAGCAGGUUCCAGGACUGCUGCCUCCUGAGGAUGGAGAAACUGUGGCACCCUGGGGGCCACUAAGGGAGGCCAGCUGAUUGCAGCCACGUGUACCUUCCUCUUCUCGUCUCUGUGUUUUGUAGAUGACCGCACCUCGAGCAGGAGUGGGGAUGCCACGUCUGCCCCCAGCGCCCGGCCCUCUGUCCACCACGGUCAUUCCCGGAGCCGCCCCGACCCUGUCCGUGCCCACACCAGAUCCUGAGAGUGAGAAGCCUGACUGACCCCGCCUAGACGCCAGGCCCACUUCACGCCGUCUAAGUGGAGAAGUGACGGACCCUCAGGGCCAGCUGCUCCUCCUGUCCAGUUCACGCUGUUUUGUAACCACUUUCUAAGCAUUUUUUAUUCACAAUUGGAAACACAAAUGUAAUGCAAGAAUAAAAAAUAUUUUGGGGCAG
rnacentral:lncRNA from 1 species